rnacentral:rRNA from 1 species
UUUCGAAUCAUUCACAAUGGGGGAAACCCUGAUCCAGCAAUGCCGCGUGUGUGAUGAAGGCCUUAGGGUUGUAAAGCACUUUCACUGGUGAAGAUGAUGACGGUAACCAGAGAAGAAGCCCCGGCUAACUUCGUGCCAGCAGCCGCGGUAAUACGAAGGGGGCGAGCGUUGUUCGGAAUUACUGGGCGUAAAGGGCGCGUAGGCGGCUCUUUAAGUUAGGCGUGAAAUCCCCGGGCUCAACCUGGGAACUGCGCUUAAGACUGGAGAGCUAGAAAACGGAAGAGGGUAGUGGAAUUCCCAGUGUAGAGGUGAAAUUCGUAGAUAUUGGGAAGAACACCAGUGGCGAAAGC